rnacentral:antisense_RNA from 16 species
UAUGGCAGCAUACGUGGGAGAACCGAAAGGUUCGCCGUUUCUUUCGUAGCGGUAGUUCCAAUCUCGCGUAUGCUGUCGCCCUC